rnacentral:rRNA from 1 species
GAUGAACGCUAGCGGGAGGCCUAACACAUGCAAGCCGAGCGGUAGAGUUUCUUCGGAAACUUGAGAGCGGCGCACGGGUGCGUAACACGUGUGCAACCUACCUUUAUCUGGGGGAUAGCCUUUCGAAAGGAAGAUUAAUACCCCAUAAUAUAAUGAUUGGCAUCAAUUAUUAUUGAAAACUCCGGUGGAUAGAGAUGGGCACGCGCAAGAUUAGAUAGUUGGUGAGGUAACGGCUCACCAAGUCAAUGAUCUUUAGGGGUCCUGAGAGGGAGAUCCCCCACACUGGUACUGAGACACGGACCAGACUCCUACGGGAGGCAGCAGUGAGGAAUAUUGGACAAUGGGUGAGAGCCUGAUCCAGCCAUCCCGCGUGAAGGAUGACGGUCCUAUGGAUGGUAAACUUCUUUUGGACAGGGAUAAACCUACCCUCGGGAGGGUAGCUGAAGGUACUGUACGAAUAAGCACCGGCUAACUCCGUG